rnacentral:rRNA from 1 species
GUUGAUAAGGUUAAGUGAAUAAGGGCGCACGGUGGAUGCCUUGGCACUAGGAGCCGAUGAAGGACGGGACUAACACCGAUAUGCUUUGGGGAGCUGUACGUAAGCUAUGAUCCAGAGAUUUCCGAAUGGGGGAACCCAGCAUCUUUUAUAGGAUGUUACGUUUGCGUGAAUACAUAGCGCAUUCGAGGUAGACGCAGAGAACUGAAACAUCUAAGUACCUGCAGGAAGAGAAAGAAAAUUCGAUUCCCUGAGUAGCGGCGAGCGAAACGGGAAAAGCCCAAACCAAUGAGCUUGCUCAUUGGGGUUGUAGGACUCCAAUAUGGUAGUUCUUUCAGAUAGUCGAAUGACUUGGAAAAGUCAGUCAAAGAGGGUAAAAACCCCGUAGAUGAAAUUUGGAAGGCACCUAGGAGGAUCCUGAGUACGGCGGAACACGAGGAAUUCCGUCGGAAUCCGGGAGGACCAUCUCCCAAGGCUAAAUACUCCCUAGUGACCGAUAGUGAACCAGUACCGUGAGGGAAAGGUGAAAAGCACCCCGGAAGGGGAGUGAAAUAGAACCUGAAACCGUGUGCCUACAACAAGUCAAAGCCCGUUAAUGGGUGAUGGCGUGCCUUUUGUAGAAUGAACCGGCGAGUUACGAUUGCAUGCGAGGUUAAGUUGAAGAGACGGAGCCGCAGCGAAAGCGAGUCUGAAUAGGGCGUUUGAGUAUGUAGUCGUAGACCCGAAACCAUGUGAUCUACCCAUGUCCAGGUUGAAGGUGCGGUAAAACGCACUGGAGGACCGAACCCACGUACGUUGAAAAGUGCGGGGAUGAGGUGUGGGUAGCGGAGAAAUUCCAAACGAACUUGGAGAUAGCUGGUUCUCUCCGAAAUAGCUUUAGGGCUAGCCUCGGAAUUGAGAAUGAUGGAGGUAGAGCACUGUUUGGACUAGGGGCCCAUCUCGGGUUACCGAAUUCAGAUAAACUCCGAAUGCCAUUCAUUCAUAUCCGGGAGUCAGACUGUGAGUGAUAAGAUCCAUAGUCGAAAGGGAAACAGCCCAGACCACCAGCUAAGGUCCCAAAAUAUAUGUUAAGUGGAAAAGGAUGUGGGGUUGCACAGACAACUAGGAUGUUGGCUUAGAAGCAGCCACCAUUUAAAGAGUGCGUAAUAGCUCACUAGUCGAGUGACCCUGCGCCGAAAAUGUACCGGGGCUAAACAUAUUACCGAAGCUGUGGAGUACACCUUUAGGUGUAUUGGUAGGAGAGCGUUCUAAGGGCGUUGAAGG